GCCGGCCGAGGACCCCUCCCGGGACCGAGCUGCCUACAGCAUACGCCUGAUCAUACGACCUAAAUUGGGGUCACUCUCGCCCACUAUCCCCCCAAUAUUUGCCACAUAUAGCCUUUUGAAGACGUUCUACCAACGUGUGCAGAACUCCAGGGGCUCUGAACUCUUCAAGUCUAAAGUAGUUUUGAUCAGGCGUAUGCCGGGCAGCCCCGAAUCUCGGCUCCUUUGGUCCCCUUAUGCAUAUGCAGCAGAUUGUGAUCUUUAACACGCUGAGAGAGAAGGGGGCGUACCCUCGUCUCCGUAGGUGAGCGUUUGUUCACUGCGACCCUCGUGGAUGACCCGAGUACUCUGGGAAAAACCUUCUCGUGGCUCAAAGUCCGCCUCCUCCCCGGUCCCUUCACCAAGGCCAAAAGCGGAACACCACUGAAGAAUGGGGAGCUGUGGAUACCCAAAAGGAUCAGAUGAACCAUCCAAGGACCAAAUAAAUAUCCAUACUGGGCCCAGGCACAAGGGCUUACAAGGGCAGUGGCUGCGGGUUCCAGUGCCUGUGGGGUCCCAGUGCCUAGGCACCAAGGGAACACAGAAACUUGGAUUAUCC
ensembl:lncRNA